rnacentral:lncRNA from 1 species
GGCGGAACAGCUUGCCGUAGGGGCCGGUGCGCACCGCGUCCAUGGUCCCCGGCUCCAGGUCCAUGAGCACCGCCCGCGGCACGUACCGGCCACCGCUGGCCUCGUUGUAGUAGACGUCAACGCGCUCCAGCUGCAGCCGGGAGUCACCGACGUAGUCGCCCUUGGCGUCGAUGCCGUGCUCGUCCGACACCACCUCCCAGAACUUGGCCCCGAUCUGGUUGCCGCAUUGGCCGGCCUGGAUGUGCAGGAUCUCCCUCAUGGCUGAUCUUAAUACAACA